rnacentral:pre_miRNA from 1 species
GCCUAUAGCUUUUUGUGUGGUUUCUCUACGGGAAUCACAGAGAGUUGGUUGGACU